UGAGGAACCUGCCCUGUAGACCGGAAUAACCACGGGAAACUGUGGCUAAUGCCGGAUAUUCUCUUCAGUCCGCAUGGACAGAGGAGGAAAUGGGUUUACCGCUACAGGAUGGCCUCGCGGCCUAUCAGCUUGUUGGUGGGGUAAUGGCCCACCAAGGCUACGACGGGUAGCUGGAGUGAGAGCUCGAACAGCCACACUGGGACUGAGACACGGCCCAGACUCCUACGGGAGGCAGCAGUAGGGAAUCUUGCGCAAUGGGCGCAAGCCUGACGCAGCGACGCCGCGUGCGGGAAGAAGGCCUUCGGGUUGUAAACCGCUUUCAGGAGGGAAGAAGCGCAAGUGACGGUACCUCCAGAAGAAGCCCCGGCCAACUACGUGCCAGCAGCCGCGGUAAUACGUAGGGGGCAAGCGUUGUCCGGAAUUAUUGGGCGUAAAGAGCUCGUAGGCGGUCCUCUAAGUCUGAUGUGAAAUCUUGCGGCUUAACCGCGAAACUGCAUCCGAUACUGGAGGACUUGAGGCAGGUAGGGGAAGGUGGAAUUCCUGGUGUAGCGGUGAAAUGCGCAGAUAUCAGGAGGAACACCAGUGGCGAAGGCGGCCUUCUGGGCCUGUACUGACGCUGAGGAGCGAAAGCGUGGGGAGCAAUGGGAUUAGAUACCCCAG
rnacentral:rRNA from 1 species